rnacentral:lncRNA from 1 species
UUUAUCUUUGUGCUUCACCUUUUUUCGUUUGUGAAGUGUGAGGCAGGACUAGGUGAUUUCCUGGAUGUUGUUCUGGCCCUAAAGGUUUUGAAUAUGUGUGACUACUGAGAACAAAAAGAAAACAGUUUCUAUAAGUGGAUGUUUCUAUAAGUGGACAAAUACAUAUAAGGAAUUGGGUAAACUUGAUUUGUUCUUGGAGUUUGGUAUUUUGUGAUUGUUAGUGUUGGUAAUUUUUUGUUGGUUUGCUAUAUUAGUUACCUUUUAAUUUCCUUUAAGACCUUUUUUCACCAUGCAGAGAUAUUCUGUGAGGAGAGUGUUAACAAGCACCCUUUUAUUUUCUCAGAGGCACUUCCUGACCUCUCUUUUUCUUGUGCUUUUGGAUCUUAACCUUGAUGGGCUCUUCAGCGAAGUCUUAGCUGCCUUUCAGAGGAGAAGAGUUCCAAAUCUUUGUUAGAAAAUGUUCUACAACUUAAAUUUUAAGUGUAAGGUAAGAUCAUUUCACUCCUUAGGGCUUGAAAUAAGUACCUUUUAUGGCCUUAACUUGAAGUCUGUUUUCCUCUUGUUGCAUUAGGUAGAUCUGUUUUCAUCUCCUGCACUCUUCCUAAUGCCUCUUUUCAUUUGACUAUUUGUUGUUCCCCUUCAAAUCUUUGUCUUAGAUGGUUUUCCAAUAUUCAACUAAAUGGGAAACUAUCUGCUGGAGUUGAAGAAUUUUCUCAUUCUGGGCUCCAUACUAUAAGGUUGCUUAUAGAUAUGCUUAUUUUUGUUUAUUUAAAUAAAGAUAGUCUCUAUAAUAGUUUUCUCUGAUUU